UCUAAUACCGGAUACGACCAUCAGGGGCAUCCCUUGGUGGUGGAAAGCUCCGGCGGUGAAGGAUGAGCCCGCGGCCUAUCAGCUUGUUGGUGAGGUAAUGGCUCACCAAGGCGACGACGGG
rnacentral:rRNA from 1 species